rnacentral:lncRNA from 1 species
UCCUGUCUCCUAGGAGACAAGCAUGUAAAUAAGUGAUUCUACAUCACAGAGCGAAAUAAGCGGAGGUCCAGAAACAGGGCUACCCGCCAAUCGCGUGGUGACAGAGGACAGAGGGUCCUAAGGACAGAUGAGGAUGUUCUUGAUUUUGUACUCCAAGUAAAUGUAUUUAAGAAUGGUUACCCCAACCUCUGAGAAAUCUGAAAGUGGCAGCUGGAAAUGCCAUUUUCACAGCCCACCUUUUUCAGAGACCACACACAGAGACUACACUGAUUGGAAUCAAGUUUAAAGGCAUGGCUUACAUUCAG